CGGCUAUUUGACAUGAAUUUGGUACUUUAAAUUAUUUAAAACAGUAUUUUCAUUAAAAUAUGAAAACAUAUUAUUCCUUUAUACGUGAAUUUAAGAACACUGACUCAACUACCUGUUUUUAAAAUUUACACGAGUAGAGGUCAGUGCUGCAGUGGCUUCACAGAGAACUCUCCACUUUGAGUUUUGUAUUAAAUUGGAGAAUAUAGGAAAAGUAUUUGUGAUGACAUGCAAAAGAACUGCCCCCACCAAAUAAAUUGCAAGUUGAUCUCUUAAUGAACAACUAAUUUUAAAUAAAAAAGGAAAGAAAAUUGAACGAGAAAAGUGUAAAAAAGGCUACACAUCUUCUGCACAAUCCCUUUCACGUAGUAACUAAGAAAUCUAAUCACCAUAAAACAUUGAAAAGCAAACCUGAAGAAACCAAUCUCUUGGCUAACAGAGCACCCUGUCUGGACAGCUCCCUGGUGCUGAAGUUACACCGCCUCUAACCCGACGCCCGAGUGCUGCCCUCACUCCUCCCACCCUCGGCAAAAUCCCGGCUGCCCAAACUGUGAGCACCAAGACUCGCAGCAGAACUUCACAAGUGUGAUGCCUUCACCAGCCCUAAGGGCUCUGCCCACAAGACGGCCAUCAGCAGAAGAAACUCUUAGACCCUGGGCCUCCACAACCAUGAGCCAAAAAUAAAACUUUUCUUUAUAA